rnacentral:lncRNA from 1 species
GCGCUCAAAGAGAUCCAGAAGCUGAAAAAACUGGGCGCUUUUGAGAGACGAAACGUGAUUCCCGACGAAGUCUUGAAGAUCGAGCUUGCAUGCAUAUCGAGACGGUACGGGAAGAGCGAACACACAGUGAAAUCUCUCUGGACGAAGGCGCGACUCCGAAAAGCUGCGGCUCUGGAACACUCUGGUCUUAUGGAAGAUGCACUCGAGCAGUUGACGAGUGUGAUGGAAACAAACGCCUCUGACGCUGAAGCAACACAAAACGCGACGAGGGUUACCAAGAAGUUACUCGUUUCCCGUCACGGGAGGGAAAAGGUCUCAACAGCAGUCGAAGUUAAAUCUCCAACCAACAGCAACAAUACCUCGAUUGGUAUAGUUUACAACAGUUCACUUCCAAGCGAUGUGGGAUGUGGUCUGUGCUAUUUGGUCAUGAAGAGCACAACAGAACUUGGAUCCGGUGAACAAAGACCUUGAAGUUCUGAACCAGCAGUCCAACUCGUAGUAUGUACUCCCCGAGGGGAAGCGUACAGCCCUGGGAGCUGGAGACCACGGUUGUAGUCGCUGUAAUACGUUGCUGGUCCCGGAUCCGUAGCUUUCUUGCCAUACAGAAUAGAAUCCAGCUACCCUCAGUACUGCUGUAUUUGAAAUGUGACUCCAUCACGUACUCGGAAAAUCCAAGCAGCGUUAAAAGGCGAAUCACUGUCCACUCAUGAGGCUGGUGUCAUCCUAGUGCAACGCCAGUCUUAACCAGCUGUAUCACUUUGACAAGCCUCCUGAACAUACAUGCUCUAUCCUCUUUUCUACAGGAGCCGAAUCGGGUAGAAGACUCGUCGAUGCUUCGGAGUCUUCUGAAAUCGAAACGUUGGAACUCCUGUUCGCCGCAGCGGGCGCUCGUAUGAAAAGACAGGAAUAUCGUGCCGCUUUACAACUUUACCACAACGCAUUCACACUUGAGCAAGGCUGCCCCGAGGCUAGCGAACCAAAGUCAUUGCAAAGCUGCGUCAUGAUGCAGGUCCACCGCAUUCGUGCUCUUGCAAAUGCCAGUCUUUGCCUUCUCAAAUUAAAUCUAAGCGAGCACGUGGUGAACGUUGCGACUUUGAUAUGCGGAACGCGGUCCAUCGCAACAGACGCGUGACAGCGUCCAAUUAUCAGUCGGGCCAUCCUUCGGAACUCCGUGGUAGUCACCAUCUGGAGGAGACAGUCCGAUUGUACACAGAUCUGCUACAUGAAACAAGACAAGAUCCGGCGUUCGGCCUGUUGCAGGCAUUGUAUUUUGUCAACAGAGCACUUGCGUGUCUACAAGCAGGACAUGUCCGUGCAUGCGUUGUAGAUUGCGACGCAGCCUCUGAGAACUUAAAUGCAGCCAGCCUAACACCUACCUGUUGGACCAGAAAGGAUGAACAGCAAAGAAAAUCUUCUGUUUCUGUUCAACAAGGACGGGCAGCUGAGGCCAGCUCAUCGUUCGAAGCGUUUGCCUUCGUACCU